AUGCAGUAAACCCGACAAAUCCCUUUUGCUGCUGCUUUUUUUUUUCUUUAUAGAUGUUUCGAUUAUUAUCGUUAAAGGGGAGCGUUAAAACAAUAAAAGCAACUAACAUGGGAGUAUAUACAGGCGAUAAGUUUUUUAAAUAUAAAAACGGGAAAAUCCAACAAGGAAAAUGCUCAAAUCUGGAGUGAAAAAGGGGCCAAUGAAGCUAAUCAGGUUCACACAUUUAAAGUGCUUGAACAAGAACAACAAUUCGAAAGGGGCCGAACAGCAAAGGAGAAAACAAACUUUCGCUUUUCAACAGAUAAAAGGCAUGAUUCGGGUUAAAAAAAGUGCAAGAACGUGCGAAGUGCAGCUGCAUGACACAAAAGUGUGAAAACCAGAAAGGCUUUUCCUGCCUCAUAGCCUUUCACACACUCCUCUGCUGCUGGUGUCUGCUGCACUUUGGCAAAAAAGGCUCAGAUGGGUUUCUGCCACUGAGCCAACAUGGAGACUGAGGGGAGGCUGGUACAGUCAAUUUACUAUGGGAGUAUUGGAAGUCAGGACACAGAGCGGCUGCUGGAGAGAUUCGGGUAUGAUGGCAGCUUUCUACUGAGAGACAGCAGCACAGUGCGGGGGGCCUACUGUCUGUGUGUGAGGAAAGCACCGUUUGUUCACACCUACAGGCUCCUACGCUCUGCCGAUGGCUGGUGCCUUCAGCAGGAUUCAACAGCCAGAUCACCAACAUUUAGGACUCUGGAGGCACUAAUAGAAGGCUACAGGAGGACUGCUGUAGUUGGAAUAGCCCCGCUCACAGAUCCCCUGGACAAAACACGAGUACGAAACAGCUUGGGCGAAGAGUUUCUUUACAUGGAAAUGAACAACAGCAGCAGCAGCUCUGUGUACUGAGGCCAUCGUGCUCUUAAUCUCUCAGACGAUCAAACCGACAGAAACCACAGCGCCUCGCUCAUCUCGUCUGCCCCUGUUUCUCAAUUUCUUUGUGUAUUUAUUUUCAGUUUUUGUGUUGAUUUAGUCAUGGUUUAAGACAUAUUUUCAGUAGCCCGCAAACUGCUACUGAAAGAUAUUUAAAUGUUUUAACACACGCCAUGAGUGGGAGCACUUUUUUGUUGCUGGUUUUUUGAGUUUUCUUUUGUUUUUGUUUUUUUAAUUUUAUGCAGUGUCUUUUUCAUCAGACCUACGUUCAUCGAUGUUUGUGCCUUUUUGGGUGCAUACAUCAAUGAUUUCUGUCCAAAUGGUGUCAGGCUUAAUGUAAUGUUUUAUGUUGUAGAAGUUUUGACAAGUGCUGUAUUUGGAUCAAGAUUGUUGACGUUUGUUUGCAUUCUGUCUCGUUGAGAAAGUCGUGUACAGUGAACUGUUUGAGUUCUGGUUUAUCGGUUUAUGCUCGCUCAUUGUAACGACGUAGCAAACGCAGCAGAGCAGGAAAGGUAGACCGUGAAAUCUAUUGUGAGCACCAAACUUUCUGGCGCAACGACUUUAAUUGUUCAUUUAUUUUUUUUCAUUUUCACAGAUCUCAAUAACUGACAACAUGUGAUAGCAGGUCUGAAAAUGACUUUAUGGUAUGAAAUCUGUUAAACUUAUGCUACUAAUUAAAUGUUAAUAUAUUUAAAAACUAUCUCAGAUCAAUUAUAGGAGUUUUGUAUAGAAUUCUGUGACUGUGAAAUGUAUACAAACAGUAAAUUCUGGGUGGAAAUGUGCAAAUUUCUUUUCUUAUGGACAGGUAGAAGAUGGAUAAUAAAACAAACAGAGCUUCUCGUCUUGCGCGAAUCAGCUGCAACUCUUGCCAACACCUUCAUUCAUUAAGGGCAGUUUAAAACAAGAUGCUUUAAAGCUAAUACAGCUGUUCUGCCAGUGGUUUUUCCCCACUGAUGCUGUGGACAAGCCUGCACACUUUCUUGUUCCUGUCAGACAUUCAUGCUGCAAAAGCUGAGUAACAUAAACACGUAAAAAAAAGUGUAACAGAGGAGGGGCAAGCAUAAAUGAGGUAAUUAAAAAAAACAUGUAAGUAUGACAAGUAAUUCCAAACAGCUCAAAAAAUAUUAGCAUCCACUCAAAUGGUUCCUGUACAGAUUAGCAAGCAGUGUUUUUGCUAGCUAAAGAUACAGUUGUUGUGUCUUUAAGGGAGAAAAGUAAGGUUAAUGUGUAAUAAAUGUAAUCUGAGGGAUGACAAAAGCUGAAAGAAAGAGGACACAAGAGCUGUGUCCCAAAUGUAGGCUGCAUCCUUCGGAGGCUGCAUUUGAUGGCCGAUUACGUCACAGCCAGGUGACGAAGGCUGUCCCAAUCCGUCGACUACUUCAAAUGCGUCCUUCAUUUCCCCGAAUUUGAAGGAUCGGUCGGGUGUGUCCUUUGUGGCCCACCAUAUCCCAGAAUUCAUAGCGCGGCCCGGCCAAUUUCAGUUUCCAACGAUAAAUGUAAAGCUUACGUGUAAUGUCCCACAUUAAGACAGGAGAUCUGUACACGAUGAGUUGCUCUUAGUUAUCUGAUUAUAUCUUGUUGAAAAUAUCUUUUAAUUAAAAAAAUUGCUGCUUAAUACUAUUCAAAGCCCAGUAGCGAAAGGUUGAUCUUCAACAUGUAAUAAAGGCAGAUGUAAGCAGUCAGUCUUGCAGCCUUUAUUUCUGCCUGCUCAUGUUUCUAAAGCAGAAUCGCUAUGGUGAUCGCCAUGAAAUCUCUUUAGGCCGGUGUGUGGAACUGUAGCCUUUCUGUUGUUAGCUGGUAAUUAUGUAAAGGUGGAUUUAAGGUCAUUUUACAGAUUAGAAAAGUUAUGUAAAGAAUUAACAUCUCCAAUCAGUAUUUAUGCUACAUGGUGGAAAAGUAAUCAGUAAUACAUUGUGUAAUACUUAUACUUGUAAUAGGUUCAUGGCUGCUGAGCAGCAGGACUUCCUUCUAGAAGGAGUCCAGAAUUUAAAAUUUCUAAAUUAAAAAGCUGAUGAUAUUCUUUAGUUACAGUUUUGUUUUCCUAAUUCCAGCUUUAUAAAAUCUUUAUAAUGUCUAUGAAUUGGACAGCAGCCAUGGCGGCUAAUAUAACAUUUUCCUAUAUACUUUACAAUGAUGUAAAUCCACCAUGACAAGUAAAGACCAGAAAAAAGCACAUGAAGAAAACACAUUUACUGGUGCUCACAGUUCACAGUAGAAAGGUUUUGUGACUUAUUUCUAAGUGACUCAUUUUCCCACGCUGCACUGCUACACCAGAAUGUAGAGCUGCCUCACCUUAGCCCCUGGCAAUAGUUUAGCGUAUUUUUCGGACCAUAAGGGGCACCGGAUUAUAAGACGCAUUAAGUGAAACAAAACAGUCAGAUAAGUCAAACCUGACUCGACUCAUUCUUCGUGCUUCCUCCAAGUCUGUACCACUGAUUCAAUAAUGUUGAAUUCUCUUGCAGCUGCUCUAUCCGGUCUUUAAGUGAUGACAUGACGAAUCCUGCUUCCGGGCCUAAAGUAGUCUGCAUUUAAUAUGGCUUUUGUGUUGUUAACAUGUUUAAUGUUAUAUAUUUUCUUCUAUUUAAUCUCAAAAAGCUCCUAAAAACAGUCAGUGAUCACUGUUGACCUCCCUCGGCUUUAUUACCGCUAAUCAUUUAUUUAAGCUCAGUUUUUAAAACCUUAGGAUGUAACUACAGCCCAGCCCAUGCAGCAGUAUAUGAAUGACUAACCUCGUAUUGUGGAUGGAUUAUCUCAGUUGUUCUCCUGGCUGAAGUUUGGUCCGUUUACAGCAUUCUGCCAUGCGAUUACAUUUGGUCCCGACCACCGAGAAUCCUCACGUUAACUUUUAUCAAGUGGAAAAAAGUUAGUGUGUUUAUAUUAUGCUCACAUAGCUGUGUCGCUAGCGGUCACGUAGCACAUCAUUAUAUACCAGCUAGCCAAACUUCAGUUACCCUACAAACGUCACUGCUGU
ensembl:lncRNA